UAGUGGCGGACGGGUGAGUAACGCGUGAGGAACCUGCCUUUCAGUGGGGGACAACAGUUGGAAACGACUGCUAAUACCGCAUAAUGUAUUCUGACCGCAUGAUCGGAAUACCAAAGAUUUAUUGCUGAAAGAUGGCCUCGCGUCUGAUUAGAUAGUUGGUGAGGUAACGGCCCACCAAGUCGACGAUCAGUAGCCGGACUGAGAGGUUGAACGGCCACAUUGGGACUGAGAUACGGCCCAGACUCCUACGGGAGGCAGCAGGGGGGAAUAUUGGGCAAUGGGGGAAACCCUGACCCAGCAACGCCGCGUGAAGGAAGAAGGCUUUCGGGUUGUAAACUUCUUUU
rnacentral:rRNA from 1 species